AGCGAACGUUAGCGGCGGGCCUAACACAUGCAAGUCGAGCGAGAAAAGGGCUUCGGCCCCGAGUAAAGCGGCGGACGGGUGAGUAACACGUAGGUAAUCUUCCCUUGAGCGGGGGACAACGAGCCGAAAGGCUCGCUAAUGCCGCAUACGUUUCUCGGGACUCCGGUCCUGGGAAGGAAAGGUAGGCCGCAAGGUCCGGCACUCGCGGAGGAGCCUGCGUCGCAUCAGCUAGUUGGUGGGGUAACGGCCUACCAAGGCGAAGACGCGUAGCUGGUCUGAGAGGAUGAUCAGCCACACUGAAACUGAGACACGGUUCAGAAUCCUACGGGAGGCAGCAGUGGGGAAUAUUGGACAAUGGGCGCAAGCCUGAUCCAGCCACGCCGCGUGAGUGAUGAAGGCCUUCGGGUCGUAAAGCUCUGUGGGGAGGGACGAACCGCCGUUGGUGCAUAGCCAACGGCAUGACGGUACCUCCUUAGCAAGCACCGGCUAACUUCGUGCCAGCCGCCGCGGUAAAAC
rnacentral:rRNA from 1 species